rnacentral:lncRNA from 1 species
CCAAAGUUCUAGAGUCUGGACGUCUGAGAUCAGGGUGCCAGCACUGUCGAGGUCACAGACUGCAGACCUCCUUGUAUCUUCAAAUGGAGGAAAGAGGACAAGAGAGCUCCUGUGGUCCCUUUUAUCAAGAUGAAUGCACAAGGAAAAUGUUGUACAUUUGCACAUUGGAGUACACUUCAGCCAUAAAAAGAAUGAGAUGCUGUCAUUUGCAACAACAGGUCAACAGCAAUCUGAGACACACUCUUCUCAUGGCAGAUUAUGGGACCAUAAAGCAGGUGUUCAAAAUGAUUCUACCACUUUACAUCCUCCCCAGAAGUU